ACACAGAAAGUAAUGAAGAAAAAAGUUAGCACUGAAGUACAAUGCAUACUCCUUAGGUUCUUAAACUCUACCAGUCUAACAGAAAGCACCAAGAUACAGAUGCCAAAGUCAGAAAAAAUACAAAGCAGCUCAGAAUCAAUAUCAUAUAUCUUAUUCAAGGUAAAUUUUAUGUUAGAUUGUUUGUCUGGCAUUUGGGAGGCUAAAUUAACUUAGGAGGCUAGAAAUCCCAUCUCUACUUUUUUUUUCUUUUUGAGAUGGAGUCUUGCUCUGUUGCCCAGGCUGGAGUGCAGCGGCAUGAUCUCGGCUCACUGCAAGCUUCGGCUCACUGCAAGCUCCGGCUCACUGCAAGCUCCGGCUCACUGCAAGCUCCGCCUCACCGCUUCACGCCAUUCUCCUGCUUCAGCCUCGGAGUAGCUGGGACUACAGGAGAAUCACUUGAACCUGGGAGGCGGAGGUUGCAGUGAGCGGAGGUUGCAGUGAGCCAAGAUCGCGCCAUUGCACUCCAGCCUGGGAGACAAGAGUGAAACUCCAUCUCAAAAAAAUAAAAAAUAA
rnacentral:antisense_RNA from 1 species